rnacentral:rRNA from 1 species
GAUGAACGCUGGCGGCGUGCUUAACACAUGCAAGUCGAACGGAAAGGCCCUGCUUUUGUGGCUUGCUCGUGUGGCGAACGGGUGAGUAACACGCGAGUAACCUGCCCUUCACUUUCUGAUAACUUAAGGAAACUGGGGCUAUUACCGGAUAGGAGCUCUUGCUGCAUGGUGGGGGUUGGAUAGUUUAGGCGGUUGGGGAUGGUCUCGCGGCUUACGAGCUUGCUGGUGGGGUAGUGGCUUACCAAGGCUUUGACGGGUAGCCGGCCUGCGAGGGUGACCGGCCACAUUGGGACUGAGAUACGGCCCAGACUCCUACGGGAGGCAGCAGUGGAGAAUAUUGCACAAUGGGCGGAAGCCUGAUGCAGCAGCGCCGCGUGCGGGAUGACGGCCUUCGGGUUGUAAACCGCUUUCGCCUGUGACGAAGCGUGAGUGACGGUAAUGGGUAAAGAAGCACCGGCUAACUACGUG